AUUGAACGCUGGCGGCAGGCCUAACACAUGCAAGUCGAGCGGACGAAGGGAGCUUGCUCCUGGAUUCAGCGGCGGACGGGCGAGUAAUGCCUAGGAAUCUGCCCUGCAAUGGGGGAUAACGUCAGGACACGGGCGCUAAUACAGCAUCCGUCCUGAGGGUGAAAGUGGGGGAUCUUCGGACCUCACGCUAUUAGAUGAGCCUAGGUCGGAUUAGCUAGUUGGUGGGGUAAAGGCCUACCAAGGCGACGAUCCGUAACUGGUCUGAGAGGAUGAUCAGUCACACUGGAACUGAGACACGGUCCAGACUCCUACGGGAGGCAGCAGUGGGGAAUAUUGGACAAUGGGCGAAAGCCUGAUCCAGCCAUGCCGCGUGUGUGAAGAAGGUCUUCGGAUUGUAAAGCACUUUAAGUUGGGAGGAAGGGCAGUAAGUUAAUACCUGGCUGUUUUGACGGUACCAACAGAAUAAGCACCGGCUAACUUCGUG
rnacentral:rRNA from 1 species